UGUUGUUACUGCCCUUCUAAAUAAAUGAAUCUCUUUCAGGAAAUAAUGACACAGCUAGGGAGCCACCACCAAAAAGUCAAUAUUCCUAAUAUGGAGCAAUCACCGACAAGCGAUGCAAAGUACCUGGAGUAAACAGAUAGCAACAAAAGGGAUUCAGCUACCAACUCAGCCCGACUUGUGUGCAGAUUUGUUUUCAUCCAUUUCCUUCGGUACCUUCGGUAUCUUCGGAGCCCGCAAUGGCAAGGGCCUUCCGAUGUGAAACAAAAAUGCCCAUUUUGGAAAGGCCCGUUUUCAGGAGGCAUGCAAAAACAGAGACUUCUGGUAUCCAGCAAGCAGAAACAGAUAGUGAUUCUCCCAAAAUGCACAAGCCUAAUUGCUUAUUUCUUAUGGUGGGCAAAAACAACCCAUUUUUACUAUGUCUUACCACCAAACCAUUUAUCUGGGAUUAAUGCAUCAGUAUAAUUGUUGAAAAUCUGGAACUAAAAAAAAAUCUCUAUCACAAUUGCCCUUCCUAUGUCAUUUAUUAUUACAACCAAACAACAUUUCCUUCAUUCAGAUAAUAUUUAUUCUUCAGAUCCAAACAUAACAUUAGGAGGAGAACUACCUCUCUUUUGUGGAUGCUUUUCAUCCAUCAUUUCCAAUUUACUACCUUACUAUUAGGA
rnacentral:lncRNA from 11 species